GUCGUUGUAGUAUAGUGGUGAGUAUUCCCGCCUUUCACGCGGGUCACCCUGGUUUGAUCACCGGUAACGGCG
rnacentral:tRNA from 1 species